GGCCAAAUGAUAUCCGUGAUUUUUCAGAGUAUUUGUUCUUGAGGUAAUGCCUUGAGGUAAGGUAUGUAAUGAGUUGUGUGAAGUGGGAUGUGAUAAUAAUUUUGCCCUUGCUUCAUGUGAUGAAAUCGCACAUAAUUUGCCCUUGCUUUAUGUGAUGAAAUCUUUGGGUGGUUUGUUUAUUUAGUGUUUUUCUAUUUCUUUUUAUAUGCUAAUUUUCAUAGUUCUAGAGCAAGUCUUUCUCUAGUCAUUUUGAAAUCCUUCCACAUGCUGCUUCUUAGCCAAGAUUGUCUUGCCCUAAUGAACAAGUUAAAUGGAUUUGCGUUGCUUGGAGUCUCAGUGUAAUAUAUGUGUUUUAGAACUUAGAUUGAUAAACAAAUUUGAACAAAUACAGUGGAAGAAGAAUAAAGAGAAGAUUAAAAAAAAAGAGUAGAAAUAAAGAAAAGGAUGGUGAAACUUUAGGAGAAUAGGGGAAUCAAGAGAAGAGGAUAGAAUUUUGAUGGAUUUUAUUUAAUUAUGUAACGGAGGUUUUUUGUUGUUAGAUGUUGUGCGUUAAUUAAUUUGUAAUCUUGGAAAAAUACUUUAUCAUGAAUUGGGUUAAUUGUAAGUGGCCAAUACACUAAUAUAUAUUCUUCUAGUACUCAUCUAAAUGUAAUCUGUGUUUCAGGUGAUGUUGGUGGCUCUUGGGAAUUUACUAUCAGUGUUCUUUUUACGAAUUAAUUGUUUUUCUAAUGAUGGGGUAGUGAUUGAAUAUUGUAGAGAAUUUAUGAGCUAUUCUUACGGAUUUGAUUCACCAUGUAUUUUGAUGAUACUAUUUGUUGGAAGUUUCAAGUAAUUGAAAUUUUUAGUAUAUGGUGAUAUUUGGUAUUUGAU
rnacentral:lncRNA from 1 species